rfam:Tyto alba contig65397, whole genome shotgun sequence.
UAUUGUGGUAGUUUCUGUACUGGGCAGAUCUGUGACAGUAUCAGAGCGGCCUUAAACUACCACAGAGAUCACAAAGGAGCAGUCUGUGCUGAGAACUUUUUCAGUCUUUGAGUUUUCAGCUUUUUGUUCAGCUCCUACAGAA